rnacentral:rRNA from 1 species
AUGGUCGUUGCCGGAGCCGCCCCGCCCCUGGAUCCGCUCGCCGUUGGUCCCUGCCGGAGCCGCCCCGCCCCUCCCCGGCGCUCCAACCCCAACUCCCCGACUCUCCAUCCUCCCCGCUUCUCAUCACCACCGCCGCACUACGCGAAGCCCAUCUCUCUCCAGCCUCCCUGCCCGCAUGCAGCCCUCGCCCUCGGCACCGCACGGCCAGGCCCUCUCUCCUCGGUUAUGGCCACCAUGGAAAACCUGACCCGUAGGGCAUACCCUUCUCCUCUGAUGCGUAACACCCAUCCCUGCCCCGGCGGUUGGGAUCAUGUCCGCCAUCAUGAGCAGCUGCUCCGCAUCCGAGUGCACCGACUCAGAGGUAGAGGUUGGGCUGUAGUUCUUGGACGCCAAGGAAGAACGCAAGUUGUUGCCGCCGCCGAAGAUGAAAACUGGUGGUAA